rnacentral:rRNA from 1 species
AGAGUUUGAUCCUGGCUCAGAUUGAACGCUGGCGGCGUGCCUAACACAUGCAAGUCGAGCGGUAACAGGUGUAGCAAUACAUGCUGACGAGCGGCGAACGGGUGAGUAAUGCUUUGGAAUCUUCCCAGUAGUGGGGAAUAACCAGUCGAAAGAUUGGCUAAUACCGCAUACGUCUGUAAAGGGAAAGCGGGGGCUCGUAAGACCUCGCGCUAUUGGAUGAGCCAAAGUCGGAUUAGCUAGUUGGUGGGGUAAUGGCCUACCAGGGCGACAAUCCGUAGCUGGUCUGAGAGGACGACCAGCCACACCGGAACUGAGACACGGUCCGGACUCCUACGGGAGGCAGCAGUGGGGAAUAUUGGACAAUGGGGGAAACCCUGAUCCAGCGACGCCGCGUGUGUGAAGAAGGCCUGCGGGUUGUAAAGCACUUUUAGUGGGGACAAAAAGCUACGGAUUAAUACUCUGUGGUCUUGAUUUAACCCAAAGAAGAAGCACCGGCUAACUCUGUGCCAGCAGCCGCGGUAAUACAGAGGGUGCGAGCGUUAAUCGGAAUUACUGGGCGUAAAGCGCGCGUAGACGGUUUUGUAAGUCAGAUGUGAAAUCCCUGGGCUCAACCUGGGAACUGCAUUUGAGACUGCAUGGCUAGAGUAUCGAAGAGGGAAGUGGAAUUUCCGGUGUAGCGGUGAAAUGCGUAGAUAUCGGAAGGAACACCAGUGGCGAAAGCGACUUCCUGGUCGAAUACUGACGUUCAUGUGCGAAAGCGUGGGGAGCAAACAGGAUUAGAUACCCUGGUAGUCCACGCCAUAAACGAUGACAACUAGAUGUUGGGAGGGUCUGCCUCUCGGUGUCGCAGCUAACGCGUUAAGUUGUCCGCCUGGGGAGUACGGCCGCAAGGUUGAAACUUAAAGGAAUUGACGG